GGAGUUAAUCUUCCGGAUGAUAGCGUCAUUGACAGAAUUCUUCGAUCACUGCCACCAAGCUACAAGAGCUUCGUGAUGAACUAUAACAUGCAAAGGAUGGAUAAGACGAUUCCCGAGCUCUUCGCAAUGCUAAAGGCUGCGGAGGUAGAAAUCAAGAAGGAGCAUCAAGUGUUGAUGGUCAAUAAGACCACCAGUUUCAAGAAAAAGGGCAAAGGGAAGAAGAAGGGGAACUUCAAGAAGAACAACAAGCAAGUUGUUGCUCAAGAGAAGAAACCCAAGUCUGGACCUAAGCCUGAGACUGAGUGCUUCUACUGCAAGCAGACUGGUCACUUGAAGUGGAACUGCCCCAAGUAUUUGGCGGAUAAGAAGGAUGGCAAGGUGAACAAA
rnacentral:rRNA from 1 species